GGACUACACGGGUAUCUAAUCCUGUUCGCUCCCCUAGCUUUCGCACCUCAGCGUCAGUUACCAGCCAGGACACUGCCUUCGCCUUUGGUAUUCCUCCGGAUAUCUACGCAUUUCACCACUCCACCCGGAAUUCUAUGUCCCUCUCUGGUCCUCAAGUCACGCCGUCUUUGAAGGCCUGGUCUCGUUAAGCAAGACCCUGUCACUCCAAACUGACGCAACCGCCUACAUGCCCUUUACGCCCAGUAACUCCGGACAACGCUCGCCCCCUACGUAUUACCGCGGCUGCUGGCAC
rnacentral:rRNA from 1 species